rnacentral:misc_RNA from 1 species
UUUCCGUAGGUGAACCUGCGGAAGGAUCAUUAUUGAAUAAACCUGGCUUGGUUGAUGCUGGUCUUUUCGGAGACAUGUGCACACCUUGUCAUCUUUAUAUCUCCACCUGUGCACCUUUUGUAGACCUGGAUUCAACUUUCCGAGGAAACUCGGUUGUGAGGAAUUGCUUAAUAGGCUUUCCUUGUUAGUUUCCAGGGCUAUGUUUUCAUAUACACCUUAAGAAUGUAACAGAAUGUCAUUAUUAGGCUUAAUUGCCUUAUAAACUAUAUACAACUUUCAGCAACGGAUCUCUUGGCUCUC